rnacentral:rRNA from 1 species
GGAGGAAUAUUGGGUCAAAUGGGGCGGAAGCCUGAACCAGCCAAGUAGCGUGCAGGAUGACGGCCCUACGGGUCGUAAACUUCUUUUGGCGGGGAGCAAUAAGGUCUACGUGUAGACCGAUGAGAGUACUCGUUGAAUAAGCAUCGGCUAACUCCGUGCCAGCAGCCGCGGUAAUACGGAGGAUGCGAGCGUUAUCCGGAUUUAUUGGGUUUAAAGGGUGCGUAGGCUGUUUGUCAAGUCAGAGGUGAAAGGCCGCAGCUCAACUGUGGAAUUGCCUUUGAUACUGGCAGGCUUGAAUACUGUUGCCGUGGGAGGAAUGAGUAGUGUAGCGGUGAAAUGCAUAGAUAUUACUCAGAACACCGAUUGCGAAGGCAUCUCACGAAGCAGACAUUGACGCUGA